UACGAAGGGGGCUAGCGUUGCUCGGAAUUACUGGGCGUAAAGCGCACGUAGGCGGCUUUCUAAGUCGGGGGUGAAAUCCUGGAGCUCAACUCCGGAACUGCCUUCGAUACUGGAGAGCUCGAGUCCGGGAGAGGUGAGUGGAACUGCGAGUGUAGAGGUGAAAUUCGUAGAUAUUCGCAAGAACACCAGUGGCGAAGGCGGCUCACUGGCCCGGUACUGACGCUGAGGUGCGAAAGCGUGGGGAGCAAACAGG
rnacentral:rRNA from 1 species